CUGUAGCGUCGUGCCUAUACUCGGCCGUCAACGGCAAAGUGGGCGACCCCCUCGCGGGGGUCGGGCCGUUAAGCCUUGACGAGUAGGAGGGUCGCGGCGGUGUGCACUGAAGGGUCACGGCGUGAGCCGGCCUGGAGCCGCCGUCGGCGCAGAUCUUGGUGGUAGUAGCAAAUACUCCAGCGAGGACCUGGAGGACUGACGUGGAGAAGGGUUUCUUGUGAACAGCUGUUGCACAAGAGUCAGUCGACCCUAAGCCCUAGGAGAAAUCCCACGUUGAUGGGUCGCCGGACAAACUCAAAGAACACAUGAAUUUGACGGCCCCCUUCGGGCGAAAGGGAAUCCGGGUCCUAUUCCGGAACCCGGUAGCGGAACCGUUCCAAAACGGGCCCUCCGCAGAAUGGUCGUCGGGGCAACCCAAAGAGACCGGAAACCCCCGUCGGGGGAUCCGGGAAGGAUUUUCUUUUUUUCUUUAACGUCGAAGUCCCCUGGGAUCCUCUAGCAGGGAGAUAGGGUUUGGAACGGGAAGGGCACCGCAGUUGCAGCGGUGUCCGGAUCUUCCCCUCGGACCUUGAAAAUCCGGGAGAGGGCUACGUGGAAAGUUCGCACCGGAUCGUACCCAUAUCCGCAGCAGGUCUCCAAGGUUAAGAGCCUCUAGUCGAU
rnacentral:rRNA from 1 species